rnacentral:tRNA from 1 species
GGGGGACUAGCUAAGUGGUAAAGCACAUGCUUAGCAUGCAUGAGGCCCUGGAUUCAAUCCCUGGUACCUUU